UACGGAGGGUGCAAGCGUUAUCCGGAAUCACUGGGGUUAAAGGGUGCGUAGGCGGCUAUGUAAGUCAGUUGUGAAAUACCUCGGCUUAACCGAAGGAAGUGCGAUUGAUACUGCGUAGCUUGAAUCAGGUUGAGGUAGGCGGAAUGUGGCAUGUAGCGGUGAAAUGCUUAGAUAUGCCAUAGAACACCGAUUGCGAAGGCAGCUUACUGGGCUUUGAUUGACGCUGAGGCACGAAAGCGUGGGGAGCAAACAGG
rnacentral:rRNA from 1 species